rnacentral:lncRNA from 1 species
AAAAAUGAUAAUUCAAACACCGUCCCAGGAGAUGAGGUUCUUAUUCCGGUUAACUAGGCUCACCUUCCAUAAACCAGACAUUCCAAUAGUAAGAAAUCUACGUGUAUAUAUGAAUUUUGAAGUCUAGAAACAUAAUCCCAUACAGGUAUUUAGUCUGGGCUAGAAAUCUACGCGUAUAUAUGAAUUUUGAAGUCUAGAAACAUAAUCCCAUACAGGUAUUUAGUCUGGGCUAACAUAUUCAGCAGUCAGCACUACUAUAAUCAGGUACAUUGCCAUAGUCAGCAUGCCCACCUCCGAGCAGAACGAUAGCUUGACAUGGACAAACACGACCAAAUUCAUUUAGUUCCAUUCGAGCAAAAAGAUA